UACGUAGGUGGCAAGCGUUGUCCGGAUUUACUGGGCGUAAAGGGCGUGCAGGCGGUCUGUCAAGUCUAGGGUGAAAGCUCCCGGCUCAACUGGGAGAGGUCUUUGGAUACUGGCAGACUUGAGGGAUGCAGAGGAGAGUGGAAUUCCCGGUGUAGUGGUGAUAUGCGUAGAUAUCGGGAGGAACACCAGUGGCGAAGGCGGCUCUCUGGGCAUUACCUGACGCUGAGACGCGAAAGCGUGGGGAGCGAACCGG
rnacentral:rRNA from 1 species